rnacentral:rRNA from 1 species
AUUGAACGCUGGCGGCAGGCCUAACACAUGCAAGUCGAACGAGUGGCGGACGGGUGAGUAAUGUCUGGGAAACUGCCCGAUGGAGGGGGAUAACUACUGGAAAUGGUAGCUAAUACCGCAUACCAUCGGAUGUGCCCAGAUGGGAUUAGCUAGUGGGUGGGGUAACGGCUCACCUAGGCGACGAUCCCUAGAGGGGCUGAGUGGAUGACCAUCCACACUGGAACGGAGACACGGUCCAGACUCCUACGUGAGGCAGCGGUGGGGAAUAUUGCACAAUUGGCGCAAGCCUGAUGCAGCCAUGCCGCGUGUAUGAAGAAGGCCUUCGGGUUGGAAAUUACUUUCAGCGAGGAGGCGUUACUCGCAGAAGAAGCACCGGCUAACUCCGUGCCAGCAGCCGCGGUAAUUG